rnacentral:rRNA from 1 species
UACGUAGGGGGCAAGCGUUGUCCGGAAUUAUUGGGCGUAAAGAGCGUGUAGGCGGUCCGGUAAGUCAGCUGUGAAAGUCAAGGGCUCAACCCUUGAAUGCCGGUUGAUACUGUCGGGCUAGAGUCCGGAAGAGGCGAGUGGAAUUCCCGGUGUAGCGGUGAAAUGCGCAGAUAUCGGGAGGAACACCAAUGGCGAAGGCAGCUCGCUGGGACGGUACUGACGCUGAGGAGCGAAAGCGUGGGUAGCAAACAGG